GGUAUCAGAAGUGCGAAUGCUGACAUAAGUAACGAUAAAGCGGGUGAAAAGCCCGCUCGCCGGAAGACCAAGGGUUCCUGUCCAACGUUAAUCGGGGCAGGGUGAGUCGACCCCUAAGGCGAGGCCGAAAGGCGUAGUCGAUGGGAAACGGGUUAAUAUUCCCGUACUUGGUGUUACUGCGAAGGGGGGACGGAGAAGGCUAUGUUGGCCGGGCGACGGUUGUCCCGGUUUAAGCGUGUAGGUGUGUGUUCCAGGUAAAUCCGGUUCACUUUAACACUGAGGCGUGACGACGAGGCACUACGGUGCUGAAGCAACAAAUGCCCUGCUUCCAGGAAAAGCCU
rnacentral:rRNA from 1 species